UUCGAAGUUUUAGAUUCAAGUCAUGUAGACGGCGCUAGUAAAGAUAGCGCGUGCGCAGCUACAAAAUCUAUAUUAAAAUGGAGGAUAAGAAUCAGGUCGUGGAGCGAGAGGCUAAGAAAGAUGAAAUUCAUGAAAAAGAUGGGCAUUCCAAAAGUUCUAAGAAAAGGAACCGUAAGAAAAAGAAACAACCAGUACAUUCCACGAGUGAAAAUCACAAUAAUGCAGGACACAGUGAAGAAAAAAAUCUUCACAGUGCUUGUAAUAUCUCCAUAAAGGAGAUACAAAUGGCUAUGGAAGUAUUUAAUAUGCAACAAAAGCCUGCCAAAACUCAAGAAGAAGCAAUGCAAAAGCCUUAUCAAUUUUGGAGUACCCAACCAGUACCUAAAAUGGAUGAAAAAAUUAUGUGCAAUGAACCAAUUGAACCUGAUAAAACUUCCAUAAGGGCAGAACCUUAUUCGUUGCCAGAAGGUUUUCAAUGGGAUACAUUAAACCUUGAUGAUCCUUUGGUAUUAGCAGAAUUAUAUUCUCUGCUAUCAGAAAACUAUGUAGAAGACGACGAUGCGAUGUUUAGAUUUGAUUAUCCACCUAUAUUUUUGAAAUGGGCAUUACAACCACCAGGAUGGUGUAAAGAAUGGCACUGCGGUGUUAGAGUUAGCAAAAGCGGACGUCUAGUCGGUUUUAUUUCCGCUAUUCCAGCUACUCUACGCAUUUAUAACCAUACUAAAAAGAUGGUUGAAAUAAAUUUCUUGUGCGUACAUAAGAAAUUAAGAUCCAAAAGGGUUGCUCCUGUUCUGAUACGAGAAAUUACAAGGAGAGUAAAUCUUCAAGGAAUAUUUCAGGCUGUGUAUACUGCUGGAGUUGUAUUACCAAAACCAGUUGCAACUUGCAGAUAUUGGCAUCGAUCGCUUAAUCCAAAGAAGCUUAUUGAAAUUAAAUUUUCUCAUCUCUCGCGUAACAUGACUAUGCAAAGAACAUUAAAACUGUAUAAACUGCCAGAGAACACCAAGGUGCCUGGAUUUAGGAAGCUUGUUUAUACAGAUAUUCCACAAGCUCACAAAAUUUUAAGUGAUUACUUAGAAAAAUUUGAUCUGGCACCGAUUUUUACAAUCGAGGAAUUUCAACAUUGGUUCCUUCCACAAAAUGGCAUGAUCAAUACUUUUGUAGUAGAAAAUGAUGGUAAAAUUACGGAUAUGGUUAGCUAUUACACAUUACCAAGUUCAAUAAUGCAUCAUCAAGCACAUAAGACUUUAAAAGCCGCAUAUAGUUUUUACAAUGUCUCCACCGUCACUCCAUGGCUCGAGCUUAUGACCGAUGCUCUUAUAUCAGCCCGUAACUUGGGCUUCGACGUAUUUAAUGCUCUGGACUUGAUGGAUAAUAAGGAGUUCUUGGAACCUUUAAAAUUUGGUAUUGGCGAUGGUAAUCUCCAAUAUUAUUUAUACAACUGGCGUUGUCCAAGUAUGACGCCUGGAAAAAUUGGUUUGGUGCUCCAGUAGACUUCUAGAUCAACAUGUUGUUGACUAGAAUAUAAAACGAUUGUAAGCUUGCGUGAGUGAAAGAAAAGAAUGCAAGAGUGUGAGUGACGAGAAAGAAAUAUGGCAAUAUGAGAUGCACACGUAAGAAUAUAAAACGAUGCAAAAAAAAAAAAAAAGAAAAUGAAGAGGAGUGCGGAACCUCUAAUAUUUCCGCGAUUACAAAGGAUAAUAAAAGAAAAAAGAAAAAAUAAAAAAAAGAAACAAAACAAAAAAAAAUAGCGAGCAAAUGAACGUUAAAAUAACAGCGGAAGAAGAGGGAGGAGGGUUGAAUAAAUACGUGUGAAAAAAUCUUUCGAUACUGUGAGUCGAUCUCUCAGUAAUUUCGAAUAUCAUUCUUUCCAACGUCCUUGAUACUCGGACAUGACGAGACAGGGACAUGGUCAAGAUCAGUACGGUGUAGAGAGAAUAUUGCAUGCGCCAACGCGAGUGUAUAUACGUAUAUUAUGUGCGUGAUUCGAGCAAUGUAGAUAAGUAUCGUAACUUUAGUAACUUGACCGACCCACGCAAAGGGUGAGAACAUAAACAACUAGGAUGCGAUCUAACUUCUUCGAGAGAACUAUGUUUCCUUUGCACCUUCUUGACAAGAUAGAUGAUAAUGCGUAUGUCAAGGCACACGCACACAAUCCCACCACAUCUCCCUCCCCUCCCCCCUCCAUAUACGCAGAAAACUGUAUAACUCACGGAUAUGCUCUCUCAACAGAGAAAAAGUUUUUCUUUGUAACUGCCGCUCUAGAUAAAAACGACCGUCUCGAAGAACUCCGACGGUCGACAUGCAAGGCCUUCUUCUCAAGAUAAAAGAGAAGAAACUAUGUUUCUGUCACAAUUAGCUGACUUAACAUUUGUAUUCUAUUUAGAUAGGAUGUUAGCAGGCACACAUCCUCCGAUAAGUUCGUAGGCAUAACAAACAUUAAUUUACACCGAUAAUAAUACACAUCCGUCAAUAAAUAUUUAUUAUUCAUACCGGCGACCGAUGAAAAAAAAAAAUAAAAUAAAAUAAAUAAAAUAAAAAAAAAAUAAAAAUUGUCUCAUCACAUCCAAAUUGUAUUUCUAUCUAAUCUGAUCGAUUAUUAAAUCGUAUAAAUAUCAAAUAUUAUCGAAUCAUUAGAAGAAUAUUUGAUGGGAUUAAUUCAAUUAGGAUUAUGUCAAACGCGUUAUUAUAAAAUGAUAAAACGUGCAACAAACGAUACGAAUGUUUUUUCACCUAAUAAAAUAUGAAGUCUAACA